CCGUGGAACGUGAAUCUCGAGGUAGGCGUGGCCUGUCAUCAAAAGAGUUGCAGAGAUAGACCAGAAUUGCACCGCCAAAGCUUCGAGGAGUUGAUUACGUUAUUUAGAUUGCUCCUGCUAUAAUUAUUUUGUGUUUAUAUUUGAAUCGUAAAUAACCUCACUAUUGUAUAUGUAUCAAUUGCGAGAAGUUCUUGUUUACAUGUAUUUCUGAGCGGGGCUAAUUUUGGGGUAAGUUUUUGUGACAUAUUUCUUAAUUAAAUGUUUAAGUAAAUGAAUUA